rnacentral:rRNA from 1 species
AACGAACGCUGGCGGCAUGCCUAACACAUGCAAGUCGAACGAGACCUUCGGGUCUAGUGGCGCACGGGUGCGUAACGCGUGGGAACCUGCCCUUAGGUUCGGAAUAACUCCCCGAAAGGGGUGCUAAUACCGGAUAAUGUCUUAGGACCAAAGAUUUAUCGCUUUGGGAUGGGCCCGCGUUGGAUUAGCUAGUUGGUAGGGUAAAAGCCUACCAACGCGACGAUCCAUAGCUGGUCUGAGAAGAUGAUCAGCCACACUGGGACUGAGACACGGCCCAGACUCCUACGGGAGGCAGCAGUGGGGAGUAUUGGACAAUGGGCGAAAGCCUGAUCCAGCAAUGCCGCGUGAGUGAUGAAGGCCUUAGGGUUGUAAAGCUCUUUUACCCGGGAUGAUAAUGACAGUACCGGGAGAAUAAGCUCCGGCUAACUCCGUG